rnacentral:rRNA from 1 species
CCCAGACUCCUACGGGAGGCAGCAGUGGGGGAUAUUGCACAAUGGGGGGAACCCUGAUGCAGCGACGCCGCGUGGGUGAAGGAGUAUUUCGGUAUGUAAAGCCCUAUCGGCAGGGAAGAAGCAAGACGGUACCUGACUAAGAAGCCCCGGCUAACUACGUGCCAGCAGCCGCGGUAAUACGUAGGGGGCAAGCGUUAUCCGGAUUUACUGGGUGUAAAGGGAGCGUAGACGGCGGCGCAAGCCAGAUGUGAAAGCCCGGGGCUCAACUCCGGGACUGCAUUUGGAACUGUGUGGCUGGAGUGUCGGAGAGGCGGGCGGAAUUCCUGGUGUAGCGGUGAAAUGCGUAGAUAUCAGGAGGAACACCGGUGGCGAAGGCGGCCUGCUGGACUGCAACUGACGUUGAGGCCCGAAAGCGUGGGGAGCAAACAGGAUUAGAUACCCCAGUA